AGCCACUUGAGAUCACCAGGCCUCCUGUAGACCGGCGGGUGCAGGGCCCGGUCCCAGAGUUAAGGGAAAGUCGUUUGGAAACCCCAGGCCAACAGGACCCUUUGGCAGCUGAGGCUGGAAACAGCGGAACCAAAGGCAGACGGUCCUCAGUUGCUUGGGCGGACGUGGACCCAAUCUGUCCGUCCUUACAAGUUUCCCCCAGGGGCAGGACCUAGACGCGCGGCGCAUUCAGGUUCUCCUGGACCGUAGUGGUAGUCGCUGGCCCGAGUUAGAGGCCAGCUGAGAAGUCUUCGUGCUUCAGAUUUGUUUACCUACAAAAUGCUUCGGUAUCCAUAUUUUUGUAGAAUGUAUAAAGAAUGCCUUUCAUGUUGGUUGGAAUCUGGCAUACCUAAUUUAGGUGUCUGGCCAAACAGAAUACAUACUACAGCAGAAAAAUAUAGAGAAUAUGAAGCCCGGGAGCAAACAGAUCAAACUCAAGCCCAGGAGUUACACAGAUCUCAAGAUAGAGAUUUUGAAACUAUGGCUAAAUUACAUAUUCCAGUAAUGGUGGAUGAAGUUGUUCAUUGUUUGUCACCACAAAAAGGACAGAUUUUUCUAGAUAUGACAUUUGGUUCGGGAGGGCACACAAAAGCCAUUCUGCAGAAGGAGUCAGAUAUUGUUCUCUAUGCCUUGGACAGAGACCCAACAGCUUAUGCAUUAGCUGAACAUCUUUCAGAGUUGUAUCCUAAACAAAUCCGAGCUAUGCUGGGCCAGUUCAGCCAGGCAGAAGCCUUAUUAAUGAAAGCUGGAGUGCAGCCAGGAACUUUUGAUGGAGUUCUUAUGGAUCUUGGGUGUUCCUCCAUGCAACUUGAUACUCCUGAAAGAGGUUUUUCCCUUCGGAAAGAUGGCCCUUUGGACAUGAGAAUGGAUGGUGGCAGGUACCCUGACAUGCCCACUGCUGCUGAUGUUGUGAAUGCUUUAGAUCAACAGGCACUUGCAUCUAUCCUAAGAACAUACGGGGAGGAGAAGCAUGCCAAGAAAAUCGCUUCAGCAAUUGUUCAGGCACGCAGCAUCUACCCCAUCACCAGAACCCAGCAGCUUGCCAGCAUCGUUGCAGGUUGCACUGGAGAAUCUAAACUCUUUUGGAGAUGUCCCAAGGCCUAACCUGCACCUCUUCACAGCAUAGGCAUUUUCCCCCAAUAAACUACUUAUUCUCCCAACUUCAUCUCAGUGUCAGCUUCCUAGAAGACCCAAACAACGUGGAUGGCCUUCAAAGAAAAAUGGAGGUAUGCCCUGGUUCACUGUAGGAAGAGACUAUAUACGGAUGUGAACACCAGAAGAUGAAGACCAUUGGAAGUCAUCUUGAAGGCUGCACAUGUUCUUCGGAAAAAGAUCUAAAAGCAUCACCUUUUGCUUUGUCUGCUGGUGCUUAAGUUUGAAUAUGUCAUCCCACUGCCUUUGGCCUUCAUAGCUUCUGGCCCAGGAAAGGGAAGAAUUACAUGAAGACACAUGGAGAGGGGAGCCAAGGGGAGAGGUUCAGAAGAAACAAAGCCUGCUGAUAUCUUGAUCUUGGGGUCUAACCUCCAGAACGGUGAUGAAAUGUCUGUUAUUUAAGCCAUUCGGUCUGUGGUAUUGGUGACAACAGUCUAAGCAGACUAAUGCAAGCCCUGACACAGACUUUAUGCAAUUUAAUUCUCUUUUCUCAGUCAUGAUUUUCUCCUCUGUAAUAAGCUCUAAUUAUCAGUGAUGAAAAUUAAAUGUGUAAAUGUGUACAUUAUUGUUUAAAGACAAGUAAAGAAAACCAACACCCUUGUUUUUGUUUAACGGAUCUACCUAUUUUUAGGAAAUGUUUAAGCAGAUGUGGAUUUUUUUUUUAACACAAUAAAAUACUAUCCUUUUCUCAGCUCUUUUAAAAAAUACAUACCUAUUUUCUGAGAAGACAUUUUCACUUGGUUGAAUGAUGUUUAAUCCAGCUUUGCAAAAUAGCUCUUCACCCAGAAUAUGGCUGGUGGUUUGUGCAAAUAGCAAAGAACACUUGAUUUAUUUUACUACCUUAGUUGGAAAACAAAUUUAGUUAGUUACUUUACCUUUUGUUGUGUUGAUUUUAACCAUUAUGCUUUGACUCAUAGUUUUUCUUAUAAGGCACAUUGGGUAAAGAAAGUAGCAUAGAGUUGAAUCCCACCCUCCCCUGUUACUAAAUGGCUUUGUUAUCUUGGGUUAGCUAACUGGCUUUUCUGAGUUUGUUAGCUACUUUGUAAUAUGACAUUAAUUUUAUCUCACUUGACCAUUCAUUUAUAAUUUAAUAAAUAAAUAGGCAUUGAGUACCCCCUGCAUGCCAGGCACAGUAUUAGAUGCUGGUGAUUCAAUGGACAUCAAAACCAGUCACAGUCAGUAUCCUUGUGGAGCAUUAAUACAGUGAGAGCAUAGAUAUUUAUCAAAGAACUAUAAAAAUAAAUGCACAAUUGCAACUUUGCUGUCUCCUAGAGGAAAGAGGCAUGGUGCUUUGAAAGCAUAUCAUAGAGGGAUUUGACUUAAUCAAGGAGGUAUUUGAAGGCCUCCCCAAGGAAGUGAUAAUUGAACGAAGAUCUGACAAAAGAAGUAGGUGCUAACUAGGACUGAGAGGAUUAAAAACAAGGCAACAGAUAGGAAAUAUGCUACCAUUUUUCUUACUAACAUUACUGUUAUUUAAUAGAGACCUUCUUAGCGUUUUUAUCUCAUCAGUGAAGUGACACUUUGUCUUAUGAUAAUUCCAGGUCUGGCAUUAUUUCAUAAUUCCUUGUCUGGAAUAAAUAUUUUCAAACUUGAAGGUGAUAUACCCAUAAAAAUUCUGACUCUCAAAGUAAUUGCCAACUGUGGCAUGCAUGGGAAGAAUUUGUAAAAAAAUGACUCAGUGUAAAUCAUGAUUAUUUUACAUUUUUCUUAAUUUUGUACCUAUUUCCCAUUCUCUGCCUAUAUUAUAUAAUAACUUUUAUAUCAACUAUAUUUCCCAUGUUAAACCUGAGUUAUGAAAUUCUUUCUGCAUCUUUUCUCAUGUAUUGGAAAGAAAGUUAAUUCUUUUCAGCUUAAUCUUACCCAGUGCAAAGCCCUUGUAAUAAUGUACUUUAUUUUUGAAGGCUUCUGACCAGUAAACUGCAUACUUCAAAAAGGGACUAUCUAAGCCCAAUAGGCACCACUCAGCAACGAACCAGCUGAUUCCCUAAUACUAAGCAAUUAUGUAAGGACUGUCCAAACAUAAUAAAACAGCAUUUCUCCCUCAGGGGAGGACUUAAAGGAACAGUCACCUCUUCCUACUCCUUUCAUAUAACAUUGCUGCUUUCCCAUCUGAACCGAGACUAAGUCAGCGUGAUUGGUUAAGCUCUUCUUACUGAGAACAAACUGAACCCAGAUGUGAAUUGGGGAAGGCAGGCCAAUUUUGCUUUUGGUCUUUGCAGUGCCAACGGUCCAAUUUUUUCAAAGCUUUACAGUACCUGGCACUUUGGGCCAUGUUGUAAAGAUCAGGCUUAUGAAUGUUUAUUAGUCAUUCUCUGAUAAUUACUUUGCCACGAUUUUCCAAAUGGACAAAAACCUUAUUUUUUCCUUAUUUGUGGUAUGUGUGUUUGUAUCGCAUAGAUACUAAAUAUUGAAAGCUAGAUUUCAGAUCAUUCUAUGUUGGCUUAACUGAGCACUCUUUAAAAUAGAGGAAAUGCUGAGACUUUUAAUUGGUGAGCCAUUCUGAAGCAGAAAUAUUGUAAUGCAUCUUUUAAUCUGUCUAAUUUUGAAAUUUAUGAACAAAAAUGGCCCUGUAGAGAAACAAAAUGGCAUGAGGCAAAUGUUUGACAUGUAAUAGUAAUAUAACUGGAAUGAGGUAGAAUCCUUACCUCAGGUGUAAUGGCUUAAAUUUAGCAAUUUCUAGGGUCCAUGAAUGGAGUGGGUUCAUAAUCCUAAAAUGUUCAGGAAGGAUGAAGACAUAGGUGGAAAUCUGCUUACGUUGAGAAGAGAAAGACUUUAAGAUCAAUAAACAGCACUUAGUUGAAACCACUAAUGAGGUAUACGACAUGUCUCAGAAAUCACAAGUUUAUUUUGCUUUUGUGAGAAGUCAGAAUAACUUGUGGCUGAGGCUGUCAACACACUAGACCGCAGCCUUGUGUCAGCCUCUGGUUUUUCUAGUGCUUAAGAAGUGUCAAGUUCCAAGAGAAGGGCAGAAGCUCUGUCAUCUGAAGCAUGCAGUUCAUCAGCUUCAUACUGGAAAACAACUUGAGAUGUAUCAUUUUAAAGCACAAAGGAUGUAACUUUAUGAAAAUCAAUUUCUUGUUAUUCUUCCAUACUCUCCAUACACCCACUUUUUAAAGAAAAAAUAUGCCCUUUUGCAAAGCUGGUACUUGAAAAUGUGGAACGCAGAAAUUCACCCUGAUCUCUCCCUUUUCCCCCUACUUCUUUCGUGAAUUGAGGAAUACACUUGUCCAGAUUAUUUUGGUGUACAUAGCAGGGGGUGGGGGGCGGGGGUAGGAAUAUGGGAGGAGUGGAAAUAAAAUGAAAUAAAAAAUUGAUUUGUAUUGCUCUGUUUGGCGUUUAGUGAAGACUUGAUUAGUCCUGGGGGUUCUUUCAUUUCUCCAACUCCUCCAAUUGCCAUAAUCCUUAGCUCUAUACUUGGAACAAUAUGAGUGCCCUCUGGUGGACAAAAUGUCAUUUAAAUUUUUGUGUAUAUUGACUGAACAUGGGUAAGUAUGUAGAAAAUAAAUCUUAUGUUUCAAAUGUCCUCAUUGAACUUCUGAAAUCCAUAAAAAAUUAGUUUCUGAUGUUCAAGGGUUGUGACAGCAGAAAAUAGCUCCAUAAAAUAUGGGGAUAAAAGGCAAGCUGGGGUGGGUACUCCUGGUCCUAUUUGCUACCAAAGUAGAGUCUUGGAGCUAUACAUAAUUGGGAAGCUGAAGAGGAACUCAAAUGUCUAAGGGGAAGGCCAAUAACUCUACUUCUUGGCCAUCUAUGCAAAGAUUAGAAAUGCUAUCAUUAAGAAGGAGACAUUAAUGAAACAACAUAAGCACAGGCAAAGCCUCUAAAGAUCUAUGCCUGUUGGCAUUUGGUGGUUAAAAUUCUUAAAGAGAGAGACAGAGAGAGAGAAACCACAAAGGUUGUAUAACCUAUUACAUGCCUAAAUAAUGCAAAAGACAUAAAACAAUGCAGGCCUUUGCAGUAAAGGCUUAUAAAGCAUGUUUUCCCAUUUAUUCAGACUCUAUCUUCUCUGUUGGAGAAUAACACAUUAAAGGCUGAAUGCAGAGUAUCUGGUUAUUUUAAAUCUCCUUCAAUUUUUGACUUACUAAAAGGAUAGCAAUCUGAUUUAAAUUACCAAAUUGGCAAAGCUCUAGAAUUAUGGGCAGCGGUGUGCUGAUAAAUGUAUAACAACUGUUUCCAAAAAAGAAAGCCCUGCUUGGUAAUAUCUGCCAAUUUCCAUGGUGUAAAUAAUAUCAUCAUGGUUGAUUUAAAGCUACCAACAUAACGUCACUGAACAUACCAUUCUAAAGACAUGCGCACAAUUGACUUUCAGAAACUGCUACAGGGCAGCUCUAGAAUGCCACUAAAUAAGAGAUUUAGAAUUUUUUUUUCUGUAAUUUUCAUAGUUUGGACCAUGAAGAUAUAUUAUUUUUGUAAUAAUGAAAGAAAAACUCAAAAGUUAUUUUAAAAAUAGGCCCCAACUGAAGAAAUUAUUUCUAGCAAAAAUUGUUUAAUACAGUCUAUCUACAAUGUUUCAAAACUUAAUAUGUCUCUCUUAAAAACUCUGUAAAGUAGAUAAAAUAGAUAUCUGUACUACUUCUUGACAGGGAAGGAAUAUGAAGUCUAAGGGGGUUUAAGCAACUUAUAGAACUAGUCCUAUAAUUCUAGUUUUUUUUUAGCUGUUUAUUUAUUUCCCUGUUUUACAUACUAAAUGGCAAAUUCACAACUGAAAUUGCUGCUUUCUAACUGCAUUUGUACUUUUCAUUCAACUGUGGUGUUUGCUUCAAGCAGAAAAGGAUUAUCUGAAGCUAUCUCUUCAAGAAAUUUCUGAUUUUAUAAAGCAAUUGAUUACUAUAUAAUCUGAUGCUAUCACUGCUAUACUCUAAAAUGAUGACAAAAACCACCAUCCAUCCCAGCUCCCAUGGACCUAGAAAACAAGAGGAGAGUCUGAUUAUAUUUUCUACACUAUCUUUUCCUUGUAUCAUGCUUUUAUUAGUUCAACCAAUGUUGAUAAAAUCCUUGAUAGCUCUAAUUUCUGCCAAUCAUCCUCAUAUCCUUGAACUUAAGGAACUCACGUGCCUAGGUUUAGUAUAUUCAAGACCACUCCAAACCACUGAGCCAUGUGAAAAUCAGAAGUUUAGGACAGUGAAAGGAGAACAGAUUUGUGAAUCAGGAAUAUCUUUAUUUGAAUAUUGCUUCAGAUACUUUCUGUGUGACUUUCAGCAAGUCACUGAAUCUCUCCGAUCCUGUUUCCUUUUCUGAAAAUAAUAAUGCCUACCUCACCGUAAAGUUGAGUACACUAAGUUAGAUGGUAUUGAUUAAAUGCUUAUUAAAAUACAUGACAUAUUGUGAACACUUGAAAAAUGGUAGUAGUAAUAUUUCACAAUUAACUGUUAUUAAAUUAAAAUUUAGUAAUAAUUGAAACGCUUAGCUUCCUUCCAGUAUUGCAUAAUAUUAGUUUCCAGGUAAACAGAUAAUCAAAUAACAAACAGCAAUAGAUAGACACAGAGAAUCCUGCAUAUCUUUUUAACCCCCCAAAACCAAUUUACAUCAAGAGCAAUCUAAGUGGUUUUAUAUUGUGCCUGUGUAUAUUAACAUUCACUUACCUAUUUCCAUGGCUAUCUUAUCUUUCUUUCAUAGAUGAAAAUACCACAUUAGGUAAAUGCAGCACUGCCUCCAUGGAGAUGAAGCUCUUUUAGAAAAACGUUAAUUUUUCUAAAACUAUAUUGUUGCAUGUCUUUCUCUAUCUAACUACCUACCACCAUCAUCAGCAUCAGCUAUGUAAUCUAUAUCCAUCCAUUUGUUGGAUGAAACCAUCUCCAUGAUGUCUGUACUUUCAGGGACUUAUAUUUUUGAAUUACUGAUUAACUCAAACUAAUUGAUUAAACCCUUGGAUUUUGGUGGAUCACUUUUUGUUCCCUGUGUUGGUGAGAUCAGCAACCAGUCUUGAUCAAGGUGUAUAUUUUAAGAAAUGAAUACCAAGAAAGCAAAGCAAGUGAACAUUUUUAUUCCAUAGCUAUACCAGGGAUUGUGAUUUUUCCCUGAAUUUGGAAAUUUCCUAUUUGUGUGUGUAUGCAUGGUGUGAGUACACAUGUAUGUCUGUGGGUAUAAAUAUGUUUAAAAAUAAAAUUUGUAUUUAUUGCUUCAUAAAA